AAGUUCGAGCACCGGGGAUGUAUGUCAACGGUCACCACCAUAUAAAUGCACAAGUAAACACAGGAAAACGGUUCUUUAAAGUAUAACAGGGUUUAUUAACUCACAGAAACACCGAUCAAGAUCACCUAUAACUGCAACCAACAAUCCCCAUAACACUUAUUUUAAACCUACUCACUAAACAAGCAAUCAAAACCAGAGUGUGUGUGUGUGUGUGUGUGUGAGCACAGAGUCAGGGGGAGGCGAGGGGGGUGCAGGGAAGGAACGGCGGUGCGGUUGCGCGCAACAACAAGCGGAGUGCCGGUUAUCACACUAGGGGGCGAGCGAGAGCAGCGGGGCGGAAGUGAGACCGUUAAAUCAAACCACCGAGGAAGACGGGAACGUUAAACAGUGUAAUACGACUACUGGACGCGAGGGGCGAGCGAGAGCGAAAUGCAGGAAGUUGAGCCGCUCACUAAAGUUAAGGUAUAUCACCUCUAGUGUAUUAACAGUAAUACAAAUCAAUCAAUCAAAUGUAGGUCAAUUAUGCUUGAUAAUUUAUUAUACUUACAGAAAAAACUGCAUACAUCACAUCUUUCUACAUAUGGGUUUUCAUUUAUCUAUUUUCAAAUAAAAUCAAUCAAAUUUAGGUAAAUUAUGCUUGAUAAUUUAUUAUACGUACAGAAAAAACUGCAUAAAUCACAUGUCUCCAUUAAUGGGUUUUCAUUUUUUUAACAAAAAGGGUUGGCAGCUCAUCCUCAGAUUGCUUCUUCGUCAGGAUGGGGACCCCCUUCACAGCCCUGUAUAAAGAGG
ensembl:lncRNA